CGAGUCCCACCUCCCACGGGAGGGAAGUGGCGUUGAUCAAGCUUCCUAGAAAAGCCCGAACCACGUUAAUCAUUAAUUGCCUGUACCCGAAACCGACACAGGUGGGAAGUAGAGAAUACUAAGGGGCGCGAGAUAACUCUCUCUAAGGAACUCGGCAAAAUGACCCCGUAACUUCGGGAGAAGGGGUACCCUCGCAAGAGGGUCGCAGUGAAUAGGCCCAGGCGACUGUUUACCAAAAACACAGGUCUCCGCCAAGUCGUAAGACGCAGUAUGGGGGCUGACGCCUGCCCAGUGCCGGAAGGUUAAGGAAGUUGGUCAGGAGUAAUCUGAAGCUGACGACCGAAGCCCCGGUGAACGGCGGCCGUAACUAUAACGGUCCUAAGGUAGCGAAAUUCCUUGUCGGGUAAGUUCCGACCCGCACGAAAGGCGUAACGAUCUGGGCACUGUCUUGGAGAGAGACUCGGCGAAAUAGGAUUGUCUGUGAAGAUACGGACUACCUGCACCUGGACAGAAAGACCCUAUGAAGCUUUACUGUAGCCUGGAAUUGGCUUCGGGCUUCGCUUGCGCAGGAUAGGUGGGAAGCGUUGAAACUCUCCUCGUGGGGAGAGUGGAGCUAACGGUGAGAUACCACUCUGGCGAGGCUAGAAUUCUAACCCUGACCCCUGAUCGGGGCGGGAGACAGUUUCAGGUGGGCAGUUUGACUGGGGCGGUCGCCUCCUAAAAGGUAACGGAGGCGCGCAAAGGUUCCCUCGGUCCCGUUGGAAAUGGGACGAUAGAGUGCAAAAGCAGAAGGGAGCUUGACUGUGAGACCCACAAGUCGAACAGGGACGAAAGUCGGCUUUAGUGAUCCGACGGCACCGCGUGGAAGGGCCGUCGCUCAACGGAUAAGAGUUACUCUAGGAUAACAGGCUGAUCUCCCCCAAGAGUUCACAUCGACGGGGAGGUUUGGCACCUCGAUGUCUGCUCAUCGCAACCUGGGGCUGAAGUCGGUCCCAAGGGUUGGGCUGUUCGCCCAUUAAAGCGGUACGUGAGCUGGGUUCAGAACGUCGUGAGACAGUUCGGUCCAUAUCCGGUGUAGGCGUAAGAGCAUUGCGAGGAGCCUUCCUUAGUACGAGAGGACCGGGAAGGACGCACCGCUGGUGUACCUGUUAUCGUGCCAACGGUAAACGCAGGGUAGCCAUGUGCGGAGCGGAUAACCGCUGAAAGCAUCUAAGUGGGAAGCCCACCUCCAGAUGAUUGCUCUCAUGGCAUUAAGCCAGUAAGGUCUCGGGUAGACUACCCGUUGAUAGGCUCUAGAUGGAAGCUCGGUAACGAGUGCAGUCGAGGAGUACUAACCGACCGAGGGCUUGAC
rnacentral:rRNA from 1 species